GACGUAGGGCGCGAGCGUUGUCCGGAUUUAUUGGGCGUAAAGAGCGUGUAGGCGGCCAGGUAGGUCUGGUGUGAAAACUCGAGGCUUAACCUCGAGAUGUCAUCGGAAACCAUCUGGCUAGAGUCCGGAAGAGGAGAGUGGAAUUCCUGGUGUAGCGGUGAAAUGCGCAGAUAUCAGGAAGAACACCAAUGGCGAAGGCAGCUCUCUGGGACGGUACUGACGCUGAGACGCGAAAGCGUGGGGAGCGAACAGG
rnacentral:rRNA from 1 species